rnacentral:rRNA from 1 species
GUGGGGAAUUUUGGACAAUGGGCGCAAGCCUGAUCCAGCAAUGCCGCGUGCAGGAAGAAGGCCUUCGGGUUGUAAACUGCUUUUGUACGGAACGAAAAGGCUCUGGUUAAUACCUGGGGCUCAUGACGGUACCGUAAGAAUAAGCACCGGCUAACUACGUGCCAGCAGCCGCGGUAAUACGUAGGGUGCAAGCGUUAAUCGGAAUUACUGGGCGUAAAGCGUGCGCAGGCGGUUUUGUAAGACAGACGUGAAAUCCCCGGGCUCAACCUGGGAAUGGCGUUUGUGACUGCAAAGCUGGAGUGCGGCAGAGGGGGAUGGAAUUCCGCGUGUAGCAGUGAAAUGCGUAGAUAUGCGGAGGAACACCGAUGGCGAAGGCAAUCCCCUGGGCCUGCACUGACGCUCAUGCACGAAAGCGUGGGGAGCAAACAGGAUUAGAAACCCCAGUAGUCC